AUGAAGAUCAGGGAGUAUACCCCUUGCCCCCAGCUCACAGCGGGUUAUCUUCCCCCACCCACCCUAGGGCGGCACAUGGAGUUCAGGAAGCUCCGAGGAAUGGAGACCAGACCCCCAGCCAACACCGCUCGCCUACAGCCCCCCCGAGACCUCAGGAGCAGCAGCCCCAGGAAGCAACUGUCAGAGUCGUCUGACGAUGACUAUGACGACGUGGACAUCCCCACCCCUGCAGAGGACACACCUCCUCCACUUCCCCCCAAGCCCAAGUUCCCGUUCUCCAUCAGACAGACGGGUCCUGGCAGUAUGGGGGAUGAUGGGCAGCUGAGCCCGGGGUGCUGGUCCGGUGUGCCAGUGGGCCCCCCACCACACAGCCCCGUCCUGGGCCUCCCCCAUCCACCAGCAGCCCCCACCUCACCGCCCAUUCCAGAGUAAUGGACAGCUAGGAACCCUCACUCUGGAACCCACCCUCGCCGGGAGCUCGACGAAGCCCCCCACUUCUGCCCCCCCAGAAGGGAAAAGAUGAAAGAGAAAGGUGAGGGAUGCGCCCUUCUGGUAAAGUUAUUCAAUGGCUGCCCCCUCCGGAUCCACAGCACAGCCGCCUGGACACAUCCCUCCACCAAGGACCAGCACCUGCUCCUGGGGGCAGAGGAAGGCAUCUUCAUCCUGAACCGGAAUGACCAGGAGGCCACGCUGGAGAUGCUCUUUCCUAGCCGGACUACGUGGGUGUACUCCAUCAACAACGUUCUCAUGUCUCUCUCAGGAAAGACCCCCCACCUGUAUUCUCAUAGCAUCCUGGGCCUGCUGGAACGGAAAGAGACCAGAGCAGGAAACCCCAUCGCUCACAUUAGCCCCCACCGCCUACUGGCAAGGAAGAACAUGGUUUCCACCAAGAUCCAGGACACCAAAGGCUGCCGGGCGUGCUGUGUGGCGGAGGGUGUGAGCUCUGGGGGCCCGUUCCUGUGCGGGGCAUUGGAGACGUCCGUUGUCCUGCUUCAGUGGUACCAGCCCAUGAACAAAUUCCUGCUCGUCCGGGUGCUGUUCCCACUGCCGACGCCUCUGUCCGUGUUCGCGCUGCUGACCGGGCCAGGCUCUGAGCUGCCCGCUGUGUGCAUCGGCGUGAGCCCCGGGCGACCUGGGAAGUCGGUGCUCUUCCACACGGUGCGCUUUGGCGCGCGCUCUUGCUGGCUGGGCGAGAUGAGCACCGAGCACAAGGGACCAGUGCAGGUGACCCAGGUAGAGGAGGAUAUGGUGAUGGUGUUGAUGGACGGCUCUGUGAAGCUGGUGACCCCGGAGGGGUCCCCAGUCCGGGGACUUCGCACGCCUGAGAUCCCCAUGACCGAAGCGGUGGAGGCCGUGGCUAUGGUUGGAGGUCAGCUUCAGGCCUUCUGGAAGCAUGGAGUUCAGGUGUGGGCUCUAGGCUCAGAUCAGCUGCUACAGGAGCUGAGAGACCCUACCCUCACUUUCCGUCUGCUUGGCUCCCCCAGGCCCGUAGUGGUGGAGACACGCCCAGUGGAUGAUCCUACUGCUCCCAGCAACCUCUACAUCCAGGAAUGAGUCCCUAGGGGGGUGUCAGGAACUAAUCCUUGCAUCCCCUCCCCCACAGACACACUAGUGGUCAUGGCAUGUCCUCAUCUCCCAAUAAACGUGACUUUAGCCUCUGC